GCCUUGUUGGAGGAAGUGUGUCACUGGGGUGGGCUUUGAGGUCUCAGAUGCUCAAACCAGGCCCAGUGUCUCUCUUCCGGCUGCCUGCUGAUCCAGAUGAGAACUCUCAGCGCCUUCUCCAGCACCAUGUCUAUCUGUGUGCUGCGGUGUCCCGCCAUGAUGGCAACCGACUAAAUCUCUAAACUACAUUUCUGCCUGGAGCAAAAUACUACACAGCAUUCCUCACAGCUGACAGCUGUGAACUUGAAGAACCGAAGCCCCUUCAUUGACACACAAGUUUAUUGGCCAGACAUGGCUUUGCUCCUGGCUGCUCCAGGAGAUGCUAAAAGGACAACACCCAGACAGCUCACCUUACUUCAUUGCUAAAGCCAGUAAGAUCUAUGCAGCUAGAUUGAUGAAAGCACACAUCUGGUAAGUUUGAGCUACCCAAGAAAGUCAUUCACUCACUGCGUCUUCUGUGGGUGCUUGAGUUGCAUGCAUGAGAAUUCAGUCACUUGUGCUCGGAUGGCUCCCUUUCGCUCUGACUCAUCCCCCACGCAAAUAGAAUGAAGCUGUGCACAUUUCUCCAUGGGGACGUGAGACACGAACUUGAGAGGUGAGAUUUUUAACCCUCUGGGAGGUUUGUAGGCUGUUAAUGCUAUGGAAAGAUCUGGUUCUGGUGCUGAGGCUCUUCUGUGUGCUAAUAGUUCUCAAUCUCCAAGCACACAUUGAAGAAACGAUGCGAGGAUUCGGGGUACUUCUCAAGGUGUGGUGAAGCACAGAGCCUGUUAGCAGCGUGGCUGAGGUAGAAUUUGCUUCCCUUUGUGAAUAGCAGAGCAACAGCAUUUACCUCAGAGGACUUUUAAUUUUUUUUUUUUUUCUGUAAGCCCAUGAGUUAGAGCGUGGCUGUCUCCCGAAGAAACUGAACUGUGACAAACCAGUAAAAUAGAGACCUGCAGAGGACAGCUUUAUCAAAACAGAGAUUAAGAGUGCUGGCUGCUCUUCCAGAGUCCUGAGUUCAAUUCCCAGCAACCACAUGGUGGCUCACAACCAUCCGUUAUAAGAUCUUCUGCCCUCUUCUGGUGUGCAGAUAUACAUGGAAGCAGAAUGUUGUAUACAUAAUAAAUAAAUAAAGUCUUAAAAAAAAAAGAAAGAAAGAAAAAGAAAAUGGCCGGUGGACCAUACCAGACCACAAGAGGACAGAGGGCAAGAGAGGAGCUGCCAAACAAGAGGCAGCCAGGGCCACAAGGCUGAGAGACUGGAGUAGCCAAAUGGCUGCCAUAUAGGGACCAGGCUGAGGAAAGGAAGUGGAAGCCUCUGGGAGGGCCACAGGUACUGAGUGACGCUGGGAGAGCUGGCCAGCGGCCAUGUUAACAUGUUAGUAGGCAUGCCAGUUAGCAAUUUGUUUCAGGCUCCUGAGACUAAGAUUGGGAACGUUCACUAUCUUGUAGGUGGUUGCUGGUGGUGACAGGUUGGCUCAUUAGGAAGGAGGCGGAUAGGUUUGCUACUUAGGAAAAGGUUUAGGACUGGGCAUGGGACUGUGAAGUGAAACUCUGGGGUGUUUGAGGUAGUCAAAUUCUUUGUUCCAAUGCGGAAGCAGUUUCACGAAGUUCCUACAGUUUUACAGAACAAAGACUAUCACAAGUUAAGGCAAGUGUGAAAUAUGUUGACGGGUACAUCACAGGGGCAGGUUCAGUGAAGUGGGGUGGGGAAACUCUUCUACUGGCCCAAUGUGCUAUCUGAGCUUUUUUUUUUGGGUUAGUGGAAGCUACCACUCUGCUUUGUUAAGACUCUAAAAAGACCUAACACCUGACUUUCUCAGGCACCAGGUACUCCUGUGGCACACACACAACGCAUGCAAGCGAUGAUGCGUGUUUUUCUGAAUAGUAAAAAAUUUAAAACAGGUCAGGCAUGGUGGCAGUCCCAGCUCUCCAGAAGCAGAGGCAAGGGGAAUCUCCAUCGGUUCCAGGCCAGCCUGACUAUAAAGUGAGACCCCAUCAAACAAACACCCAUCAAAAAACAAAGCAAAACAAAACAAAAAAACAAAAAAAAAAUGCAGACACCCUGAACCAAUUAACAGAACAAAGAAAAAUCAGUCAAAAAGGAGAAAGUUGUGUAGAGUGUACCUCGUUGUGAAAGCCAGGAAACAGAAGGAAGAAAAUAGAUACCUUGUCAGAGGGUAACACUGAGUAUUUGAAGAAAUUUGGAAAGUGAGAAAACCAGCAAAGUCAUUUGUUUGUCUGUUGGCUUGUUUUGUUUUUUUUUUCAAGACAGGGUUUCUCUGUGUAGCCCUGGCUGUCCUAGAACUUGCUCUGUUGACCAGGCUGGCCUUGAACUCAGAGAUCCGCCUGCCUCUGCCUCCUUGGUGUUGGAAUUUAAGGCUGUGUGCCACCAGUACCCAGCCAAAGUUGUUUUAAGUGGUUUCCAAGACCUGUUCCCUUAAGGUCACUGCACUGUCCUCCGCACACUCGUGGUGCUCGUGCAGGCAAGUAGGCACACAUACGAAAUAAAGUCAAUAUUUUUAAAACUACUUGGGAUCUGCAGUUGGUCAAAUCCCCAAACACAGACUCUGCAGAGGCAGAGGGCUGUCUGUACUUAGUCUUACUCCCAAACCUGCAAAUUAUCAAGAAGUAAAAUAGACCUCAUGAGAACAACUAGGGGUGUGACAAAGUGAUAGCCCACGGUUGGCAAUCUAACUUCACCAUUGAACCAAUUUGGGAGUUUGUAGUCACCCUCAGGCAGGCAUGGUCGAUAGUGUUAUGCUCUGAAUUUACUGCCAAAGGGAUGCAUGAAAAUUAUGGGGAUUAAAACAAUUUUAUUUCAUGAAGUUGGCUUAAAUUCCCAGAGAUCAUUUUGUAAGAUUGGCUUUUCUUCUCUUUCAAUAAAAUUUCCUUUCCAUGUGUGCCAGCACCCAUUAUGAUACAUGGAUGUAUUAAUCACUCAUGUGGAAUUUUAUAUUUUGGCCCAUUGCACAUUAUGUCUUGUCUGCCAACUGCACUCAAAGGUCAUGGCCCUGUGGAGAAGCACAAGCCAGCUGAACUUUCUGUUGUUGUUUCUUAAAAGUUUACCAGGCCACCUACUAAACUGACUCGGUUCAUCAACUAAAUGCCUAUAAAUUCAAGGAAGACUAACACAUUAAUUUAUGUCAGUCUCACACAGUGUGUCCCCAUUUGCUGCUUAGAAUGUGCUGGUGUUCCCAGAAGGGAUCAAAAGCAGAUGCCAGGGAAGGCCACACAGGGCAGGCAUCACACUAGCUGGAAGCAGCAUCUGCAAUCCUGGCAACCUGCUAUUGACAGCCUCGGGCCAAAUGCUUCGUCUGACUCCAACUUCAUCACCAAUGAAAGGAACCUCAGGAGAUAAUGAACAGGCUUUGCGUGUGAAUCAGAUUGAGGUCAGACAUGUGGAAGCAUGUUUCCAAGUUCUAGUGCUGUGAAGAGACACCAUGACCAAUGCAACUCUUAUGAAAGAAAGCCUUUAACUAGGGGCUUGCCUGCAGCUUCAGAAGCAUGUAGACAGGCAUGGCACUGGAGCAGCAGCCGAGUGCUUCAUCGCGUUCCACAAGAAGUCACAGGUCCUGUCCAGGGGGAGCGGAGCACACAGGACUUAACACAAAUGCUGUUCAGGUUGAACCUCUGUCUCCAGACCCCACCUUCAGGAAACCCACCAAGCAGCGGCUCCUCCCCCUGAGAUGCUCAGGACCACGAAUAUAGGUUAAGACCUGGCUCCUAGACCUGCCAUGUGAUUUCUCUGCUGCCUCCGCUGUGAGUCACUGGGGAGUUGCUUUUCUCUGUUUAUUAAACCUGGUUUUAUUAAUUUUGCUGGAUUUGGCUUAUUGCAUCGGCAGAGAAACCCACAACUGGGAUUUUCAGAAAUACUUACCAAAUGUCACCUGAGGUCACAAAGAGUAAGGUACACUGGAACAAAGACCCUGGAGUUUUUCCUAUAAUCACUGUGGAUGCAUUGAAGACCAGCAUGGCACUGGACUGAUACCAAAAUGGAGGAAGGGUGUGAACUGGGAGAAAAUGCAGAUGGGUGUAGAGAAAGGCUGUAGAUGAAGAGCACCUGGCUAAGAGCCACCUGGUUGGUGGCUAGGAAGGAGGGCCAAGGAGCCUGGAGAGGUGGCAUCACACUCACCACAGACGGAAUGGUCCAGAUUUGAGAGCCAAGUCACCAUACGGGAGGGAAGAAAACAGUGGUGUCCCAGAGCUUUGUAACACCAGGGGCGCCACCAACAAAGAGCAGAAAAGCAUUCUGGAGAGAAGUUCCUGCACACUUCGCUCUUAAGGCUCUGGAGACACUAAAGGAGAGCACAGAUAAUGUGUAUUUGAAGGUCCUUUUUCAGGACUUCUAGCUGGAAGGCCAUUGUUUCCUCCGCCACGGGAAGAAGAUGGCAGCUCCUAACAGAAGCCUUCACAGUCCAAGAGUCACCUCCCCUGUAACUCGGAAAUCCCACAAUAGUUAAUCGGCGGAGGAUUAGCUGAGUGCUUGCUGUGUCUGCUGUGUGCUAGAUGUCGAGUCUCCCAGAAAUGGGAGGCUGAGGUAGAGCCAAAGCGCAAGUUGUUUCUAUGACAGAGUCUGAGGAAGCCUUCAAGUGAGG
ensembl:lncRNA